CCUACGGGUGGCAGCAGUGGGGAAUAUUGCACAAUGGGGGAAACCCUGAUGCAGCGACGCCGCGUGAAGGAAGAAGUAUUUCGGUAUGUAAACUUCUAUUAGCAGGGAAGAAAAUGACGGUACUUGACUAAGAAGCACCGGCUAACUACGUGCCAGCAGCCGCGGUAAUACGUAGGGGGCAAGCGUUAUCCGGAUUUACUGGGUGUAAAGGGAGCGUAGGCGGCGAUGCAAGUCAGAAGUGAAAGCCCGGGGCUCAACUCCGGGACUGCUUUUGAAACUGUGUUGCUUGAGUGCAGGAGAGGUAAGUGGAAUUCCUAGUGUAGCGGUGAAAUGCGUAGAUAUUAGGAGGAACACCAGUGGCGAAGGCGGCUUACUGGACUGUAAAUGACGCUGAGGCUCGAAAGCGUGGGGAGCAAACAGGAUUAGAUACCCCUGUAGUC
rnacentral:rRNA from 1 species